rnacentral:rRNA from 1 species
UGGGGAAUAUCGCACAAUGGGGGAAACCCUGAUGCAGCGACGCCGCGUGAGCGAAGAAGGCUUUCGAGUCGUAAAGCUCUGUCCUAUGAGAAGAUAAUGACGGUAUCAUAGGAGGAAGCCCUGGCUAAAUACGUGCCAGCAGCCGCGGUAAUACGUAUGGGGCGAGCGUUGUCCGGAAUUAUUGGGCGUAAAGGGUACGUAGGCGGUUUUUUAAGUCAAGUGUCAAAGCGUGGAGCUUAACUCCAUUAAGCACUUGAAACUGAAAGACUUGAGUGAAGGGGAGGAAAGUGGAAUUCCUAGUGGAGCGGUGAAAUGCGUAGAUAUUAGGAGGAAUACCGGUGGCGAAGGCGACUUUCUGGACUUUUACUGACGCUCAGGUACGAAAGAGUGGGGAGCAAACAGG